rnacentral:rRNA from 1 species
GUAGGUGGCAAGCGUUGUCCGGAAUUAUUGGGCGUAAAGCGCGCGCAGGGCGGUCCUUUAAGUCUGAUGUGAAAGCCCACGGCUCAACCGUGGAGGGUCAUUGGAAACUGGGGGACUUGAGUACAGAAGAGGAAAGCGGAAUUCCACGUGUAGCGGUGAAAUGCGUAGAGAUGUGGAGGAACACCAGUGGCGAAGGCGGCUUUCCGGUCUGUAACUGACGCUGAGGCGCGAAAGCGUGGGGAGCAAACAGGAUUAGAUACCCUGGUAGUCCACGCCGUAAACGAUGAGUGCUAAGUGUUAGGGGGUUUCCGCCCCUUAGUGCUGCAGCUAACGCAUUAAGCACUCCGCCUGGGGAGUACGGCCGCAAGGCUG